rnacentral:rRNA from 1 species
GGGGAAUAUUGCACAAUGGGCGCAAGCCUGAUGCAGCCAUGCCGCGUGUAUGAAGAAGGCCUUCGGGUUGUAAAGUACUUUCAGCGGGGAGGAAGGUGUUGUGGUUAAUAACCACAGCAAUUGACGUUACCCGCAGAAGAAGCACCGGCUAACUCCGUGCCAGCAGCCGCGGUAAUACGGAGGGUGCAAGCGUUAAUCGGAAUUACUGGGCGUAAAGCGCACGCAGGCGGUCUGUCAAGUCGGAUGUGAAAUCCCCGGGCUCAACCUGGGAACUGCAUUCGAAACUGGCAGGCUGGAGUCUUGUAGAGGGGGGUAGAAUUCCAGGUGUAGCGGUGAAAUGCGUAGAGAUCUGGAGGAAUACCGGUGGCGAAGGCGGCCCCCUGGACAAAGACUGACGCUCAGGUGCGAAAGCGUGGGGAGCAAACAGG